AGUUGGGAGGUUGCCUUGUAAUCGGAAGGUUGCCGAUUCGAGCCCCGGCUUGAACAGUCUCGGUCGUUGUGUCCUUGGGCAAAACACUUCACCCGUUGCCUACUGGUGGUGGUCAGAGGGCCCGGUGCCACCAGUGUCGGCAGCCUCGUCUCUGUCAGUGCGCCCCAGGGUGGCUGUGGCUACAAUGUAGCUUACCAUCACCAGUGUGUGUGUGUGUGUGUGUGUGUGUGUGUGAAUGGUUGGAUGACUGGAUGUGUAAAGCGCUAUACAAAUACAGGCCAUUUACCAUCAAAUAAAUAUCCAUGUAAAAUUGUUCAAAGUGACCAUUAUGUUCAUAGAUGUUAAAAAUACCUGAAAAUAAGAUGAGUUCAGUGACAGUUAGUGUUUGUUGUAAUCAAUUUAUUAAUAACAAAACACUUUUAAACUAAUGCAACACAUAUAACAAUGUCACAAAAUAUUCAAAUAAAUACAUUUCUUAAUGCAUAACUGAUUUUGGAACUGAUCUUUCAAGAAGUGAAAUCAGUCUGUCCAUCCUCUCCCUGAUCAAAUCGAUCGAUUCGGGACCUCGUGAAUCUGAAUCGAAUCGAUUCUAGAAACAGUUACAGCGUGAUGACUGGCAGGAGGCGAUCUCACCCUGUGUUUCUCUGCCUGUGGUAGAGGUGGAACCAGAUCAAGUGGAGCUGAUUCUUGAACAGCCUCAAGUCAGAGCUGGAUUGACCUUCUGUCACCAGGUACUGAUGAGCCCGCUGUGGAGAAACAUCACUGAUGAUGUUCAUAAAUCCCCAGCUGACUCUGGUAACCUUAAUACAGCACAGAAAAAAUGUCACAAUAAUCAUUUUAUGUUGUGAUUAUUGUGAUAAUAACAGAAACAGAUGCAUCUAUGUCAUUAUCUUUGAGCUUUUACACUUAACAUAAUUAUAAAAACAUGAGUAUAAAAGGUGUUACAACUCUGAUGCCAUCUUGGAAUACUGCACUUUGUUCAUGUCAUUACAACAUUUCUCUCUUUCUAAUCAUACAUCUAGAUGUUAUGUCAACACACAUUUAAUCUACAUUAUAAGAGUGCCUUUGUGAUAAAUGUUCUUAAAUUAACUGGUUAAAUAUUUAAUCUAACUAAACCCUAAAGACGGAGUCAGAAGACAACAGUCACCUGAAGGGGCUGAAAAUUGUAAAGACCCUACAGAACAAUCAGUAAAUGUGAGUAAAUCUGUGAUUCUGCGAGUAACACACUGGGUUCAGUUUGGAGGUUGAACUCUCACUCACCAGGCCGACAGCCGUCUGUGCCACAGUUAAACUCAUGCAGUGCUAAUUUAAAAACUCUCAAAUAUUUUGGACAAUUUAUAUUUUUCUAUCACAAUAAAUACAAGUCUUCAUUGAAGUAAACACACAGAGCAGUAGUCGAUGUUUUUUUAAAAUAUUAUUUUUCUUUAUUUUGAUUAGCCACCAACCGCAUUGUUUAUAUUUGUAGUUUUUGAAGUAUGGAGCACCACAAAAACUACAAAUAAAAAAAAACAAUCCAGCUAACCAAUUUUGUGCUCUCUACUAUCAGAACCUACCAAAUUGUAUCUCAGCCCUGCCCGACGGGCCGAUGGGCUGGGCUGAGAUGGAUUUUGGUAGCCCGACUGGAGAAAUCGCUAGCCCCGGGACGUCGGGCUAGCGAUUUUGCGAGCCCUGGUCAACCCCUCACUUGAAUUUUUGAAUUUCAGUUUAAGGCAAUUAAAUUCAAUCCAAAAAUUCAAUCCCAACAAUCAAGUGAUCCUCUAUGAGCAACAGUGGACAGGAAAAACUCCCUUUUAACAGGAAGAAACCUGUGACAGAACCAGGCUCAGGGAGGGGCAGUCUUCUGUCAUGACUGGUUGGGAGGUGAGGGCAAAAUAAAAUUGAACAUAAAGGAGAGCACAGAUUGUGGACCGUGGCUGGAAAAGAUUAUUACUGUUUUCAAAAGGCACCCGGUCCACAUCCACAACUACAGUAGGGCUGGAAUGGAUAAUAAGGAUAAUCCCACAGAGGACGGACACUCACUUCAGCAGAAAAUAGUUAAGAUGGCCCGAGUUAGAGGAAGAACCAUUUCUGGUGUGACAAGACAUUCACCUACUAGAAGUGCGAGUUGGACACCAGCACUCCACCAACCACUAGUCUGAGACUUGUCAGUAGGUGGUUCUGUGACAGGAGUAUUUCGUUCAUUCAACUCCCUUUCAAGGUUGUCGAUCCUAGUAAUAUUCAUUCUACAUGAAGAAAGUAGUUAAGAUGGCCCGAGCUAGAGGAAGAACAACUUCUGGUGUGACAAGACAUUCACCUACUAGAAGUGCGAGUUGGACACCAGCACUACACCAACCACUAGUCUGAGACUUGUCAGUAGGUGGUUUUGUGACAGGAGUAUUUCGUUCAUUCAACUUCCUUUCAAGGUUGUUGAUCCUAGUAAUAUUCAUUCUAUUUUGCUCCUGGAGAAGCUUUGCACGCUGAGCUAAUCUCUCAUUCUCUCUUUGCAACUGCUGCAGAGGCUCAAAGCUACUAGUCUCAAGAUCAUGUAUAGUUUUCCUGAGAGUCCUGUUCUCUUUCUGUAAUUGACGGGACUUAAUUGUAGCCUUGGCCAGAUCCACAGUGAGAAACGCUAUCUGUCGCGUAAAAUGUAAUUCCUUUGUAUUAUCUCUGUCCUUCGGUGAAUUAUUUAAUGUUUCCUCCGACAUUUCUUUAAUAGUAUAAAAGCACAGUGUCAAAAGAAAAAAAAACUUUGUAUGAAUUGUAUGAAAGUAUUAUCUUUGUCAAAGACAACUCGCUUUGCAAAAACAACUCGCUGUUUCUGAAGACGUACCAAACUGUGUUAUAGCACCUCUAUUUAUGCACUCCUGUGGCAGAGAUGGUGACGUCGAAACUGUGACGGUGACAUCACGUCACACUCUCCUUUGAGAAGAUCAAAGAAGCGCUCCGUAUCAUUCCGCGCAUGCUCAGAUCAUGCGUAUUGAAAUGAACGGGAUAUUUAUUUAUUCAUUUUUAUUUUUAUUCAUUCAUAUUACGGCAAUAUUUUUUCAUGGUUUUUAUGGUCACUGUAGUAUUAAUUUCUUAAAGUUCUCUCUUUCGCUUAUAUUUAAUAUAACCACACUACGGAUGGACAAGCGACUGCUUUUAUGCGUUGUCGUUAGCAACAGCGACGGUAAAACCAUACGCUGGGGAAAGAGGGGGAGAUUACCCACAAACUGAACAGGACAAGAUUUACUACAGUAGCUGAAGAAUCCGCUGCAAAAGGCACAAGAUAAAUGACAGGUUUCACGUCUCACCAAUGACUGUAUAAAAGAUGGGGGGGCGUGCGAAGAUGGCGGAGUGAGUAGACGCUCUCUACCGAGGUCUGCACAGAAAGUUCGUGAACAACGGUUACCAGAGUCAGCUGGGGAUUCAUGAACAUCAUCAGUGAUGUUUCUCCACAGCGGGCUCAUCAGUACCUGGUGACAGAAGGUCAAUCCAGCUCUGACUUGAGGCUGUUCAAGAAUCAGCUCCACUUGAUCUGGUUCCACCUCUACCACAGGCAGAGAAACACAGGGUGAGAUUGCCUCCUGCCAGUCAUCACGCUGUAACUGUUUCUAGAAUCGAUUCGAUUCAGAUUCACGAGGUCCCGAAUCGAUCGAUUUGAUCAGGGAGAGGAUGGACAGACUGAUUUCACUUCUUGAAAGAUCAGUUCCAAAAUCAGUUAUGCAUUAAGAAAUGUAUUUAUUUGAAUAUUUUGUGACAUUGUUAUAUGUGUUGCAUUAGUUUAAAAGUGUUUUGUUAUUAAUAAAUUGAUUACAACAAACACUAACUGUCACUGAACUCAUCUUAUUUUCAGGUAUUUUUAACAUCUAUGAACAUAAUGGUCACUUUGAACAAUUUUACAUGGAUAUUUAUUUGAUGGUAAAUGGCCUGUAUUUGUAUAGCGCUUUACACAUCCAGUCAUCCAACCAUUCACACACACUCACACACUGGUGAUGGUAAGCUACAUUGUAGUCACAGCCACCCUGGGGCGCGCUGACAGAGACGAGGCUGCCGACACUGGUGGCACCGGGCCCUCUGACCACCACCAGUAGGCAACGGGUGAAGUGUUUUGCCCAAGGACACAACGACCGAGACUGUUCAAGCCGGGGCUCGAAUCGGCAACCUUCCGAUUACAA